rnacentral:lncRNA from 1 species
GUAUGUUCUACUUCUACUCUGCUCUACCCUACUCUACUUCCACUCUGAUUCAGAAAAGCCUGAAUUUGCAAAAAGUUUGUUUCGAUCAUCAUAGGCAAGGUGAAAUAGAAAGUCGAAGAAAUCAUCUCGGUCAUUACGAGUCCUCAAGUAGUUGCUUUUUGUACUUUGAAUAAAGACUUUAGUCAUAGUAGGAGAGAUAGACUGUAAUGGACUUACUUCACGAUGGCUGCACCAGAGGUUCCAAGAACGAUGGCUUUCAACUUCAACCCACAUCUAAAACACACCACUGUAGCCACACCCUACACCCUGUGGUUAUCCAGUUGUGAGUCCUAUUGGAGAGAUGAGGUGUAUGACAGUUUCCUGGAGGGGGUCAUAUGGAUCUACUACUACCUUCCCACUGACAUUAGGCAGAUGUUCAUUAGAUUGGUUUGAUAGAUGUAAUGGUUAAUAUUGAGUGUCAACUUGAUUGGAUUGAAGGAUGCAAAGUAUUGUUCCUGGGUGCGUCUGUGAGGGUGUUGCCAAAGGAGAUUAACAUUUGAAUCAUUGGACUGGGAGAGGCAGACCCACCCUCAAUCUGGGUGGGCACAAUCUAAUCAGCUGCCAGCAUGGCCAGCAUAAAAGCAGGCAGAAGAAUGUGGAAGGAGUAGACUGGCUCAGUCUCCUGGCCUACAUCUUUCUCCCACGCUGCAUGCUUCCUGCCCUCGAACAUUGGACUCCAAGUUCUUCAGUUUUGGGACUCUUGAACCUUUGACCACAGACUGAAGGCUACACUGUUGACUUCCCUACUUUUGAGCUUUUAGGACUCGGACUGGCUUCCUUGUUCCUCAGCUUGCAGACGGCCUAUUGUGGGACCUCACUUUGUGAUCAUGUGAGUCAAUACUCCUUAAUAAACUCUCCUUUAAAUAUACAUCUAUCUUGUUAGUUCUGUCCCUCUAGAGAACCUUGACUAAUACGAUAGGGAAGCCAUAGUGACUGUCACUAAUAUUCUAAUAAAAGAAUUAUUAUCUAUGCCAACUCUGGAGAGCCACAGGUAAGCUAUACAUAGAUCAAAGUGUAAACCAGGGGUUCUCUGAGUGUGAUUCCUGGACCAGCAGUAUGUGGUGACAUUUGAAAUGCAAAUUCUUGGGCCCCACCUCAGACCACUGAAUUAGAAACUCCAGAGGUGGAGCUCAGCAGUUUGUUUUAACUAGUUCUCCAGGUGAUGCUGAGGCACAUCACAGUUGGAAAUGGUGAGGUAAGUAAGGAAUUUCAGCAGUUCAACUGCUGAAAUGUAGAUCUUAACAAAGUGCUAAAUGAAUAGAGGAAAAAGGGAUAAUUAUCUGAGACAUUUGGAUCUUGUUUCACGAAUAGGAGUUCAGAUGAAGUUAGGGAGGUCUUUUGAAGUAUAGGAAACAAGACAUGCAAAGACUGGGGAGGUUAGGAAGACCAGACCUAUUUCAAGAUAUACAAUGGCCUAGUGGGGCUUGAGGUAGCAGGGUGCAUUCUUUUUCUUAGAUAUGCUUCCUCCUCUCUGCUCCAUGGUGCCACACAUGAUGCUGGUGAUAAAGGAGACUGAGCGAGGGUAAAGAUUCACAGUGCCAGCAAGGGCUUGGACAUUGGCAGCCUAUGGAUCAAAUUGUGCUUGCAGAUGGGCUGUAUUUGGUAUUUUAUUGUACAAACACUAUGUAUUUGGCAUAGCAUUAUACAAAUAAAUGUGAACUAACAUUUAAUAAUCAGUUUGGAUGUAUAUAUGUGUAUAUAUAUUAUGUAUAAAUAACAUAUAUGCUAACACAAAAAUAUAUGUGCUAUAUUUAUAUUCUAUACAAAUAACAUAUAAAUAUAUGUUAACAUAUAAAAAUAUAUG